AGAGUUUGAUCAUGGCUCAGAUUGAACGCUGGCGGCAGGCCUAACACAUGCAAGUCGAACGGUAACAGGAAGCAGCUUGCUGCUUUGCUGACGAGUGGCGGACGGGUGAGUAAUGUCUGGGAAACUGCCUGAUGGAGGGGGAUAACUACUGGAAACGGUGGCUAAUACCGCAUAACGUCGCAAGACCAAAGAGGGGGACCUUCGGGCCUCUUGCCAUCAGAUGUGCCCAGAUGGGAUUAGCUGGUUGGUGAGGUAACGGCUCACCAAGGCGACGAUCCCUAGCUGGUCUGAGAGGAUGACCAGCCACACUGGAACUGAGACACGGUCCAGACUCCUACGGGAGGCAGCAGUGGGGAAUAUUGCACAAUGGGCGCAAGCCUGAUGCAGCCAUGCCGCGUGUAUGAAGAAGGCCUUCGGGUUGUAAAGUACUUUCAGCGGGGAGGAAGGUGUUGUGGUUAAUAACCGCAGCAAUUGACGUUACCCGCAGAAGAAGCACCGGCUAACUCCGUGCCAGCAGCCGCGGUAAUACGGAGGGUGCAAGCGUUAAUCGGAAUUACUGGGCGUAAAGCGCACGCAGGCGGUCUGUCAAGUCGGAUGUGAAAUCCCCGGGCUCAACCUGGGAACUGCAUUCGAAACUGGCAGGCUUGAGUCUUGUAGAGGGGGGUAGAAUUCCAGGUGUAGCGGUGAAAUGCGUAGAGAUCUGGAGGAAUACCGGUGGCGAAGGCGGCCCCCUGGACAAAGACUGACGCUCAGGUGCGAAAGCGUGGGGAGCAAACAGGAUUAGAUACCCUGGUAGUCCACGCCGUAAACGAUGUCUACUUGGAGGUUGUGCCCUUGAGGCGUGGCUUCCGGAGCUAACGCGUUAAGUAGACCGCCUGGGGAGUACGGCCGCAAGGUUAAAACUCAAAUGAAUUGACGGGGGCCCGCACAAGCGGUGGAGCAUGUGGUUUAAUUCGAUGCAACGCGAAGAACCUUACCUGGUCUUGACAUCCACGGAAGUUUUCAGAGAUGGAAUGGUGCCUUCGGGAACCGUGAGACAGGUGCUGCAUGGCUGUCGUCAGCUCGUGUUGUGAAAUGUUGGGUUAAGUCCCGCAACGAGCGCAACCCUUAUCCUUUGUUGCCAGCGGUCCGGCCGGGAACUCAAAGGAGACUGCCAGUGAUAAACUGGAGGAAGGUGGGGAUGACGUCAAGUCAUCAUGGCCCUUACGACCAGGGCUACACACGUGCUACAAUGGCGCAUACAAAGAGAAGCGACCUCGCGAGAGCAAGCGGACCUCAUAAAGUGCGUCGUAGUCCGGAUUGGAGUCUGCAACUCGACUCCAUGAAGUCGGAAUCGCUAGUAAUCGUGGAUCAGAAUGCCACGGUGAAUACGUUCCCGGGCCUUGUACACACCGCCCGUCACACCAUGGGAGUGGGUUGCAAAAGAAGUAGGUAGCUUAACCUUCGGGAGGGCGCUUACCACUUUGUGAUUCAUGACUGGGGUGAAGUCGUAACAAGGUAACCGUAGGGGAACCUGCGGUUG
rnacentral:rRNA from 1 species